UACGUAGGCAGCGAGCGUUGUUCGGAAUUACUGGGCGUAAAGCGCGCGUAGGCGGCUUUGUAAGUUAGAGGUGAAAGCCCGGGGCUCAACUCCGGAACUGCCUUUAAGACUGCAUCGCUUGAAUCCGGGAGAGGUGAGUGGAAUUCCGAGUGUAGAGGUGAAAUUCGUAGAUAUUCGGAAGAACACCAGUGGCGAAGGCGGCUCACUGGACCGGUAUUGACGCUGAGGUGCGAAAGCGUGGGGAGCAAACAGG
rnacentral:rRNA from 1 species